UCGCGGCUUAUCACCGGCAGUCCCCUUAGAGUGCCCAACUAAAUGCUGGCAACAUGCGACGGGGGUUGCGCUCGUUGCGGGACUUAACCCAACAUCUCACGACACGAGCUGACGACAGCCAUGCACCACCUGUGAAAGUGCCCCGAAGGGAAGACGUGUUUCCACGUCGGUCACUCACAUGUCAAGCCGAGGUAAGGUUCUGCGCGUUGCAUCGAAUUAAACCACAUGCUCCACCGCUUGUGCGGGCCCCCGUCAAUUCCUUUGAGUUUCAACCUUGCGGUCGUACUCCCCAGACGGGGUACUUCCUGCGUUAGCGCCGGCACCCAGAGGGUCGCUCCCCCAGGCACCUAGUACCCAUCGUUUACGGCGUGGACUAC
rnacentral:misc_RNA from 1 species